CCUACGGUGUGCAGCAGUGGGGAAUAUUGGACAAUGGGCGAAAGCCUGAUCCAGCCAUGCCGCGUGUGUGAAGAAGGCCCUCGGGUUGUAAAGCACUUUCAGUGGGGAAGAAAGCCUUGGGGCUAAUACCCUCGAGGAAGGACAUCACCCACAGAAGAAGCACCGGCUAACUCCGUGCCAGCAGCCGCGGUAAUACGGAGGGUGCGAGCGUUAAUCGGAAUUACUGGGCGUAAAGCGCGCGUAGGCGGUCUGAUAAGCCGGUUGUGAAAGCCCCGGGCUCAACCUGGGAACGGCAUCCGGAACUGUCAGGCUAGAGUGCAGGAGAGGAAGGUAGAAUUCCCGGUGUAGCGGUGAAAUGCGUAGAGAUCGGGAGGAAUACCAGUGGCGAAGGCGGCCUUCUGGACUGACACUGACGCUGAGGUGCGAAAGCGUGGGUAGCAAACAGGAUUAGAUACCCCUGUAGUC
rnacentral:rRNA from 1 species